rnacentral:rRNA from 1 species
UUCGGGCCUCGCGCUAUAGGGUUGGCCGAUGGCUGAUUAGCUAGUUGGUGGGGUAAAGGCCUACCAAGGCGACGAUCAGUAGUUGGUCUGAGAGGACGACCAGCCACACUGGGACUGAGACACGGCCCAGACUCCUACGUGAGGCAGCAGUGGGGAAUUUUGGACAAUGGGCGAAAGCCUGAUCCAGCAAUGCCGCGUGUGUGAAGAAGGCCUUCGGGUUGUAAAGCACUUUUGUCCGGAAAGAAAUCCUUGGCUAUAAUACAGUCGGGGGAUGACGGUACCGGAAGAAUAAGCACCGGCUAACUACGUGCCAGCAGCCGCGGUAAUACGUAGGGUGCAAGCGUUAAUCGGAAUUACUGGGCGUAAAGCGUGCGCAGGCGGUUUGCUAAGACCGAUGUGAAAUCCCCGAGCUCAACCUGGGAACUGCAUUGGUGACUGGCAGGCUAGAGUAUGGCAGAGGGGGGUAGAAUUCCACGUGUAGCAGUGAAAUGCGUAGAGAUGUGGAGGAAUACCGAUGGCGAAGGCAGCCCCCUGGGCCAAU